rnacentral:snoRNA from 1 species
AAUGUGGUUAAUGAUGUAUAUUCUUUUUUCCCCAUCUUAUCGACAAUGCUGAAAACCAGCUGUUAAUAAGCCAAAUGUGUCUGAAACCACAUC